rnacentral:rRNA from 1 species
CUUGAACGCUGGCGGCAUGCUUUACACAUGCAAGUCGAACGAGUGGCGAACGGGGGAGUAAUAUAUCGGAACGUACCGAGGAAUGGGGGAUACCCAAUCGAAAGAUUGGCUAAUACCGCAUAUUAUUCGAGCGGCCGAUAACUGAUUAGAUAGUUGGUUGGGUAAAGGCCUACCAAGGCGCCGAUCAGGAGCGGGUUUGAGAGGACGAUCCGCCACACUGGAACUGAGACAAGGCCCAGACGCCUACGGGAGGCAGCAGUGGGGAAUUUUGGACAAUGGGGGCAACCCUGAUCCAGCCAUGCCGCGUGUAUGAAGAAGGCCUUCGGGUUGUAAAGUACUUUUGUUAGGGAAGCGGUACCUAAAGAAUAAGCACCGGCUAACUACGUGCCAGCAGCCGCGGUAAUAC